AUGUCUCCCCAUAAUUCUCCAGUUUUAUGUUUUUUUUUCGGGGCCAUUAAGCUCCCAGCCACAAGCUCCUUCCCCUGCCCCCGCCUGCCUUUGUCCUUGAGGCCUGGCCGCCCCACCGCCCUGUGGGAGAAGGGCUGCCCUCCCCCAGCAGGUGGACGGGGGGCUGAGUGCUCACUCUGGACAUCCCCGUCCCAGUCCUGUGGCUUCUCAUCACAGGGCUCGUCCUGCCCGUCCCCAGGGACACAGGACACCAGGGUGCAAGGGAGCCUGGUGAGGCCCAGUCUCCCUCAGACUCUGGCUUCCUUUCCUGAGUGGGCUCUGCUCUUCCCCGUCCUGAGGGCAAAGCCCCCUGCCUCAACCCCCCUCUGCAGCUCCAGAUCCCCAGAUUCAGCGCACCCAUGUCACCCCGAGGACCCCCUCCGUACACACCUCAUCCUCUGCCCCGUCUCCUCAUGGUCCAUCUGUGAGGAGGCCCCUCAGAGUCCUCAGGGCCCCCCUCCUGUCUCCACGACCACAGCCCAGGUCUGGAUCAUGGAGCCCCUGGUUGCCCCAGUUUGGACGCCUGGCUCCCUGAGUGCCUGGGGCAGGCAGCUGCCACUCAAGAGCCGGCUUCCCCCACCGCUGUGAGGGCAGUGCCCCAGGGCCCACGCAAGGCCAGUUCUCCUCAAAGAGGCCAACUCGGGAUGCCAGAAAGCAGAGCCUUCCAGACCCCCUUCUCCUGCCCUCCAGGAGUGACAGAGAGGAAGGGGUGGCCCCCCACCUGCCUGAUGCCCUGUCCACCUCCUGAGGUAGAGCCACUCCUCCUUGGCCCUCUAACUUCCACUUUCCUCUCAGCUGAAUUGCCUUUGCAACCAAAGGCCUCCUGCCCAACCUGCCCCUUCCUUGCACCUGCGGGCACCGAGGCGCCACCCCUCCCCAGGUGGGUGCUUUGGGACGUUUGAGCCUGCAUCCCGAGGCGGGGGAGUCGCAUCCCCGUUGCAGCCCAUCCUCCUCUUCACAGGCGCUCGGCUCGGUUUCAGUUGAUUCUGACCUUGUUCUGCAUCCCCCGGGGUGUCUGGCCACAGCUUGGUAGGUCCCCCCAACCCACCCACCUCCCACCUCCCCCCCCCCACCACAACUUCCUCCC
rnacentral:lncRNA from 1 species